CAGAAAGGGGAAACUUAGUCAUGCAGUUUGACGAAGUUUCAUUUUUACUUUGGUUGAACGGCACGAGAUUCCUCAUUUUUAAAACGAAGGUAAUAUUAACUGUUGAUCCUACAGCGAUUCUUCCAUUUUAUUAAUCAAGAUGUCCUUGAAAUCAGCAAUCAACUAGUAACGGCAGAAUUUGAGUAUGUAUAUUCGAUGAAUUGUGAGAAACCCUAUUUACAAGAAUAUGCAUUAAUAAGUAUCUUAGUAUACUCAUUUUGUAGCUUUCAAUGCUUAUUAGAAAGGCCGAUCUGUGAUCGAAAAAUAUAAAAACUGCUCCGGCAGUGACUCGAACACUGGACCUCCUGUUUACGAGACAGGCGCUCU